AUAACCACCGGUUGAUGUCCAUAGCCAGGUGCACAUUUACAAGGAUAACAACUGCAAUUGUCCACAAGCUCCCCAUGCUCCAUAUAUCGAUCGAACUAUCCUUAUAGGUAAACAACGGUGUGUAAAAGAGAACAAGGCUCUGCCAUACUGUGUCAAGCAUUGUGAUCCAAAAUAAUUGCAUAUUGUAAUACUAUCCUUAUAGGUAAACAACGGUGUGUAAAAGAGAACAAGGCUCUGCCAUACUGUGUCAAGCAUUGUGAUCCAAAAUAAUUGCAUAUUGUAAGCUUCUUGCCUGUAACCAGUACUAUAC
rnacentral:lncRNA from 1 species